GUGCUUACACAUGCAAGUCGAACGAUGAAGUGGAGCUUGCUCCACGGAUUAGUGGCGAACGGGUGAGUAACACGUGAAUAACCUGCCCUCAAUUUCGGAAUAACCCAGGGAAACCUGGGCUAAUACCGGAUACGUAAACCUGUGGCAUCACAUGGUUUUGGAAAGUUUUUCGAUUGAGGAUGGAUUCGCGGCCUAUCAGCUUGUUGGUGAGGUAAUGGCUCACCAAGGCGACGACGGGUAGCCGGCCUGAGAGGGUGAACGGCCACACUGGGACUGAGACACGGCCCAGACUCCUACGGGAGGCAGCAGUGGGGAAUAUUGCGCAAUGGAUGAAAGUCUGACGCAGCGACGCCUCGUGAGGGACGAAGGUCUUCGGAUUGUAAACCUCUUUCAGCAGGGACGAAGCGAAAGUGACGGUACCUGCAGAAGAAGCACCGGCUAACUAUGUGCCAGCAGCCGCGGUAAUACAUAGGGUGCAAGCGUUGUCCGGAUUUAUUGGGCGUAAAGAGUUCGUAGGCGGUUUUUCGCGUCGGAUGUGAAAAUCUGAGGCUCAACCUCAGACCUGCAGUCGAUACGGGCAAACUAGAGUGUGGUAGGGGAGACUGGAAUUCCUGGUGUAGCGGUGGAAUGCGCAGAUAUCAGGAGGAACACCAAUGGCGAAGGCAGGUCUCUGGGCCAUAACUGACACUGAGGAGCGAAAGUGCGGGGAGCGAACAGGAUUAGAUACCCUGGUAGUCCGCACCGUAGACGGUGGGCACUAGUUGUGGGAA
rnacentral:rRNA from 1 species